rnacentral:rRNA from 1 species
UGGUCAACAGAGGGAGGGCAAAACCGCGAGGUGGAGCAAAUCCCUAAAAGCCAUCCCAGUUCGGAUUGCAGGCUGAAACCCGCCUGUAUGAAGUUGGAAUCGCUAGUAAUCGCGGAUCAGCAUGCCGCGGUGAAUACGUUCCCGGGCCUUGUACACACCGCCCGUCACACCAUGAGAGUCGGGAACACCCGAAGUCCGUAGCCUAACCGCAAGGGGGGCGCGGCCGAAGGUGGGUUCGAUAAUUGGGGUGAAGUCGUAACAAGGUAUC